ACCUGUCCUGCCGCCUACUGAGGGAUGUACUGGAGGCACCGCCAUCCCCGCCGCGGGGCUCCCUUCGCUACUGGCAGGCGCGACGCAGCGCUCGGCCCGGCCCCGCGGGGGAAGGGGGGGUAGUUGGGGUGUGCCGCGAGGGACGCUGGGAGUUGUAGUGCGCGGGCCGGUCUCGGGGCUGGCACUGCGCCGGCGCCGGACUACAACCCCACAACCCUCCGCGCGCCCUGCCGCUGGCCGCAGCCUCCCGAGAGGAGCGGAGGGGUUCCGGCAGCCGGAGGUGGGGUGGUGGGGCGGACGCGGUGCCUGUGCUGCGUGCCCCCGCGGUGCCUGUGCUGCGCGCCCCCGCGCCCUGACAGGAGGAUCCAGUAACACCUUUCUUCCUACUUCUAAAAGUUACUACGGUUUCUCUUGAUUUGGACACACAGGUGGA
rnacentral:lncRNA from 1 species